rnacentral:rRNA from 1 species
AACGAACGCUGGCGGCAGGCUUAACACAUGCAAGUCGAGCGCCCCGCAAGGGGAGCGGCAGACGGGUGAGUAACGCGUGGGAAUCUACCCAUCUCUACGGAAUAACGCAUGGAAACGUGUGCUAAUACCGUAUACGUCCUUCGGGAGCAAGAUUUAUCGGGGAUGGAUGAGCCCGCGUUGGAUUAGCUAGUUGGUGGGGUAAAGGCCUACCAAGGCGACGAUCCAUAGCUGGUCAGAGAGGAUGAUCAGCCACACUGGGACUGGGACACGGCCCAGACUCCUACGGGAGGCAGCAGUGGGGAAUAUUGGACAAUGGGCGCAAGCCUGAUCCAGCCAUGCCGCGUGAGUGAUGAAGGCCCUAGGGUUGUAAAGCUCUUUCACCGGUGAAGAUAAUGACGGUAACCGGAGAAGAAGCCCCGGCUAACUUCGUGCCAGCCGCCGCGGUAAAAC